GUGGGCGUGGCCAAGUGGUCAAGGCGCCAGGUUGUGGCCCUGGAGAUCGUGGGUUCGACCCCCAUCGCCCACCCCA
rnacentral:tRNA from 1 species